rnacentral:rRNA from 1 species
AACGAACGCUGGCGGCAUGCCUAACACAUGCAAGUCGAGCGCCGUAGCAAUACGGAGCGGCGCACGGGUGAGUAACGCGUGGGAACCUGCCCAGAGGUUCGGGACAACCGCGGGAAACUGCGGCUGAUACCGGAUGAUAUCUGAGGGUCAAAGAUUUAUCGCCUUUGGAGGGGCCCGCGUCAGAUUAGGUAGUUGGUGGGGUAACGGCCUACCAAGCCUGUGAUCUGUAGCUGGUCUGAGAGGAUGACCAGCCACACUGGGACUGAGACACGGCCCAGACUCCUACGGGAGGCAGCAGUGGGGAGUAUUGGACAAUGGGGGCAACCCUGAUCCAGCAAUGCCGCGUGGGUGAUGAAGGCCUUCGGGUUGUAAAGCCCUUUCGGCGGGGACGAUGAUGACGGUACUCGCAGAAGAAGCCCCGGCUAACUUCGUGCCAGCCGCCGCGGUAA